GACGAACGCUGGCGGCGUGCUUAACACAUGCAAGUCGAACGGAAAGGCCCUGCUUGCAGGGUACUCGAGUGGCGAACGGGUGAGUAACACGUGGGUGAUCUGCCCUGCACUUCGGGAUAAGCCGGGGGAACUGGGUCUACUACCGGAUAGGAGCCAUUUUUAGUGUGAUGGUUGGAAAGUUUUUUCGGUGUAGGAUGAGCUCGCGGCCUAUCAGCUUGUUGGUGGGGUAAUGGCCUACCAAGGCGGCGACGGGUAGCCGGCCUGAGAGGGUGGACGGCCACAUUGGGACCGAGAGACGGCACAGACGCCGACGGGAGGAAGCAGGGGGGAAGAUUGAACAAUGGGCGCAAGCCUGAUGCAGCGAGGCCGCGUGGGGGAUGACGGCCUUCGGGUUGUAAACUACUUUCGCUAGGGACGAAGCUUUUUGUGACGGUACCUAGAUAAGAAGCACCGGCUAACUACGUG
rnacentral:rRNA from 1 species